rnacentral:rRNA from 1 species
AACGCUGGCGGCGUGCUUAACACAUGCAAGUCGAACGCGAAAGGGACUUCGGUCCUGAGUAAAGUGGCGCACGGUGAGUAACGCGUAGAUAACCUGUCUUCAUGUCUGGAAUAAUACGCCGAAAGGGGUACUAAUACCGGAUAUUCUUGCUUUUCAUAAGUUAUGCAAGCAAAGGUGGCCUCUGCAUAUGCUACUGCAUGAAGAGGGGUCUGCGUACCAUUAGCUAGUAGGUGGGGUAAUGGCCUACCUAGGCGACGAUGGUUAGCGGGUCUGAGAGGAUGAUCCGCCACACUGGCACUGGAACACGGGCCAGACUCCUACGGGAGGCAGCAGUGAGGAAUAUUGCGCAAUGGGGGAAACCCUGACGCAGCGACGCCGCGUGAGUGAGGAAGGCCUUCGGGUCGUAAAGCUCUGUCAAGAGGAAAGAAGUGUACAAUGGCUAAUACCUGUUGUAUUUGACGGUACCUCUAAAGGAAGCACCGGCUAACUCCGUGCCAGCCGCGGC